rnacentral:rRNA from 1 species
UCGGAGGUGAAAGCCCGGGGCUCAACCCCGGAGGGUCUUUCGAAACUACUAAUCUAGAGAGGGUCAGGGGCCGGCAGAAUUCCUGGUGUAGAGGUGAAAUUCGUAGAUAUCAGGAGGAAUACCGGUGGCGAAGGCGGCCGGCUGGGGCCACUCUGACGCUGAGGCGCGAAAGCGUGGGGAGCAAACAGGAUUAAAUACCCUGGUAGUCCACGCCGUAAACGAUGAGCACUGGACGUCCGGAGGGUUCGACCCUUCUGGGUGUCUCAGCUAACGCAUUAAGUGCUCCGCCUGGGGAGUACGGUCGCAAGACUAAAACUCAAAUGAUUUGACGG